rnacentral:lncRNA from 1 species
ACACUGGGGACCAAAUGCUCCUGGGCCCUCAGCCCUCUGCUGUGCUCAUGCUGAUCCCGCUGGAGGGCUUUGUGGAUAGAGUGGUAGCCCUCACCGCAGUCUGGCUAGCCUUGCCCUGAGCCCCAGGGAAGCAUGAAGCAACCUACUACUGCCUUCCGUAUGUCCCUACACUGCUCUCUGCUUAAACCUGUUCCAGAAUGGGGGCUGUGUCAGUGUCAUCUGCUGCUUACCAGACCAAGUGGCAGGCUGUUGUCUACAGUAGAGCCAGGCCUGAUAGACUUGCUCAUAGGGCCCAGGGGUUCUCAGUCCUACUUCACACCACAAUCUCUCAGGAAAGCAUCUCUGGGCCAUCUGUUGAUGUGACUACCUCAAAACCUGUCACAAGUGAGGCUUCAGGUGCACAGGUGUCAUCUGUGGCUCCUGCUUCAGCCUCUCCAUUUUUCAUGAGGCCUGCACUGGGCCAGCAGUCACUGUCGUUUGGCUAGCAGUGACCUUUAGAGCUUGUGGGCAGGGUCCUCAGACACAGCAUCAUUGGAGUGCUUUUCUUUCUUUCUUCUUUUCCUUUUUUGGCUGUCCUAGAACUCAAUCUAUAGACCAGGCUAGCCUAAACUCACAGAGAUCUAUCCAUCUGCCUCUGCCUCCUGAGUGCUGGGAUGAAAGAUGUACAACACUAUUCCCAGCAGGGUUCUUUUUUUUUUUUUUCCUUUUAAUAACAUGUGUUUUUUGUUUGUUUGUUUGUUGUUGUUGUUUUAGGUUUUUGUUUGUUUGUUUGUUUUUUCAAGACAG